rnacentral:lncRNA from 1 species
UGUGUCUGUAACGCUCCGCUUUUCAAAAAGUCACACGGCCUAAAACUACUCUAGUUUCAGCACACUUAAUACUCUAAAUGUUUUGAGUCUAACCACUGUCCAAAAUAGAACUAUUCUAAAUUCUAUGAUGUCAAAUUAAAUUCGAGAAAUUAAGAAAGUUAAGCAUAGUGGAGCUAGAAUAGCUCUUGGAUAAGUGAUUCCAUGGGAAGCGGAGCGUUAG